ensembl:lncRNA
GUGGGUGCUCUAUGGGGAGGGCUAUGGGGGAAUGGGGUUGGGGGGAGGGAGGUUUGGGGGGAGUAGGGCUGAAGGGUGGGCUUUGGGGAGUGGGAUUUGGGGGUGGGAGCUCAAUGGAGAGGGCUAUGGGGAGUGGGGUUGGGGGGAGCGAGAUUUGGGGUCAGUAGGGCUUUGGGAGUGGGAUUUGGGGUGGCUCUGGGGAGUAGGAUUUGGGUUGAAUGGGCUUUGGGGUGGGAUUUGGGGUGGCUUUGGGGAGCGAGAUUUGGGGUCAGUAGGGCUGAAGGGUGGGCUUUGGGGUGGCUUUGGGGAGUGGGAUUUGGGGGGUGGGAGCUAUAUGGGGAGGGCUAUGGGGUAGUUGGGUUGGGGGGAGUGAGGUUUGGGGUGAGUAGGGUUGAGGGGUGGGCUUUGGGGUGUGGGUGCUCUAUGGAGAGGGCUAUGGGGGAAUGGGGUUGGGGGGAGGGAGGUUUGGGGGGAGUAGGGCUGAAGGGUGGGCUUUGGGGGGUGGGAUUCGGGGGGUGGGUGCUCUAUGGGGAGGACUAUGGGGGAGUGGGGUUGGGGGACGGAGGUUUGGGGGGAGUAGGGCUGAAGGGUGGGCUUUGGGGUGGCUUUGGGGAGUGGGAUUUGGGUAGAAUGGGCUUUGGGGUGGGAUUUGGGGGGAUUUGGGGAGUGGGAUACGGGGGUGGGUGCUCUAUGGAGAGGGCUAUGGGGUGAGGGGUUGGGGGAAUGAGGUUUGGGGGGAGUAGGGUUGAGGGGUGGGCUUUGGGGAGUGGGAUUUGGGUUGAAUGGGCUUUGGGGUGGGAUUUGGGGUGGCUUUGGGGAGCGAGAUUUGGGGGGUGGGUGCUGUAUGGGGAGGGCUAUGGGGAGUGGGGUUGGGGGGAGCGAGAUUUGGGGUCAGUAGGGCUGAAGGGUGGGCUUUGGGUGGCUUUGGGGAGUGGGAUUUGGGGGUGGGAGCUCUAUGGGGAGGGCUAUGGGGUAGUUGGGUUGGGGGAGUGAGGUUUGGGGUGAGUAGGGUUGAGGGUGGGCUUUGGGGAGUGGGAUUUGGGGGGUGCGAGCUCUAUGGAGAGGGCUAUGGGGUCUGGGGUUGGGGGAGGGAGGUUUGGGGUGAGUAGGGCUGAAGGGUGGGCUUUGGGGUGGCUUUGGGGAGUGGGAUUUGGGGGGUGGGAGCUCUAUGGAGAGAGCUAUGGGGUGUGGGGUUGGGGUGAGGGAGGUUUGGGCUGAGUCGGGCUGAAGGGUGGGCUUUGGGGAGUGGGAUUUGGGGUGGCUUUUGGGUCUGGGAUUUGGGUAGAAUGGGCUUUGGGGUGGGGAUUUGGGGUGGCUUUUGGGAUUGGGCUCAGGGAGUGGGCAUUGAAGUGGCUUUGAGGAGUGGGAUUUGGGUAGGGAGGCUUUGGGGUGAGGAUGGAGUGAGGGGGCUUUGGGGAGUGGGUUUUGGGGUGAAUAGUCUUUAGGGUGGGCUUUGGGGUGGCUUUGGGG